UGGGGAAUAUUGGGCAAUGGGCGCAAGCCUGACCCAGCAACGCCGCGUGAGGGAAGAAGGCUUUCGGGUUGUAAACCUCUGUCCUUGGUGACGAAAAAAAUGACGGUAGCCAAGGAGGAAGCCCCGGCUAACUACGUGCCAGCAGCCGCGGUACUACGUAGGGGGCGAGCGUUGUCCGGAAUUACUGGGCGUAAAGGGUGCGUAGGUGGCCUUUUAAGUUGGAUGUGAAAUACCCGGGCUUAACUUGGGGGGUGCAUCUAAUACUGGAGGGCGAGAGUGCAGUAGAGGAAAGCGGAAUUCCUAGUGUAGCGGUGAAAUGCGUAGAUAUUAGGAGGAACACCAGUGGCGAAGGUGGCUUUCUGGACUGUAACUGACACUGAGGCACGAAAGCGUGGGGAGCAAACA
rnacentral:rRNA from 1 species